UACGAAGGGGGCUAGCGUUGUUCGGAAUUACUGGGCGUAAAGCGCACGCAGGUGGCUGAGUCAGUCGAUUGUGAAAGCCCUGGGCUUAACCUGGGAAUUGCAGUCGAUACUACUCAGCUAGAGUAUGGGAGAGGGUAGUGGAAUUCCCGGUGUAGCGGUGAAAUGCGUAGAUAUCAGGAGGAACACUGCGGUGUAGACGGCUUACUGGACCAUAACUGACGCUGAGGCACGAAAGCGUGGGUAGCAAACAGG
rnacentral:rRNA from 1 species